ACCAGACUCCCUGUGACUGUAGUCUUUGUUGGACUCUGCUGUUCUCUCUGUGUCCAGCUUUAGUCGUGGUUUCUUCUGUCCUCUCCUCGCUGCUGGUUUAUCACUUUGGUCAGAAAACAGCUGAAGAGAAUCAUGUUGUUCAAAGUGACAACACAAGUCAAACAAGAAGGAAACAGGAUGAAGAUGUGUGCUAUGCUGCUUUGGACAUCCUUGAGGCAUCACAAAGACCAAAGAAGAAGAAACUUCAGAGCUCCGACUUCAGUACCUAUUCUGUUGUCAAAUUUGCCAUCAAAACCUGUUAUGAUUUAAGAAAGUCUGAAUGAACCCAAUUUGCUGGCAGCAAAAAUGACUUAAAGGGGCAGUGCAAAAACAAAAGGUUUUAUGUUCCAAAAGUGAGUAUCAAUCCAAACAGGUAAGGUGGAAAAUCAACUCCAAACAAAACAAGAUGAGGUGGUCCCAACAAAGAGAAAACAGAACCAACUACAGCUACAACGGAGGUACAACAAGGGUCAAGGUACUUACAAAAAGCGUGAACAACAUGAGCAGGGAUCAAACGCAAGGAACCAGCAAAAGAACAGUGAGCCAGCUGCUACUUAAAUACAACUCAAACUGAUGACAAAAUGAGGGACAGGUGUGGUAGAGUUAAAGGUCAAGAGACAACACAAGGUGAACAAAAACUUAAACAUAUAUCUCAAUGAAGUAGAA